rnacentral:lncRNA from 1 species
UUUGAAGGGGGAACUCCUGGUGAUCGACUUGACUGGGGACCAUCGUUCAUUUGCAGUGAUGACACUCUUUACUCUGAUGGAAAAGGAAACCCUGACACUGGAGCAGACUUUAAUCCUGCUCCAGACAUUGAUCAUGUAAACCCACGUGUGCAAAGAGUGUUAUCAGAUUGGAUGAUUUGGUUAAAGGAUGAAAUUGGUUUUGAUGGGUGGCGAUUUGAUUUUGCCCGGAGGAUAUUCACCUGCUUUUACAAAGAUAUAAAUGACAAACAAAAAGCCAAGUUUUGCAGUGGGGGAAUAAAUAUAUAAUUGUAAAUAUAUUUUUACGUGAUAAUAAAACUAAUUACAUAUUAAAGAAUAAUAUAAAAUUAAAAAAUAAAAAUAUUUAAUUUAUUUAUUUAAAUAUUUUUAUUAUUUUUCAAUAAAAAUAUGUUUUUUUUUUUAAAAAAGAAAGUUGUAGAUAUUAUGAUUUUAAUUAUGAAAAGUCUUUUUUGUAAAAUGAAAAGUUUUUCAAAUCUUAGUUAAAUUUUGGAAAAUUAGAAAACUGUUUCUAGUUCUCUAAAUAGACAAUUGACAGACUUGAACACGAAACUCUGUUUUUCAUUUUUUGGGAAAACUUUUCUAGAAAACUACUAUAGUUUUUCUACAUAUAAACAGCCCCCUGAACUUCAGCCUUGCAACAAAAUUUUCUCUCAACUUCAAAUUGUCUCACUUGAAAGUUACUUUCCAUUCUUUAUGAAAUCAGUGUUGAUAUAGCUUGACAUUUUCUGAACUGGAAACCCAGAAAGUUGAAUAACCAUGUGUAUGAAUAUAAGCCAAAUUUUUUGGCAGUUGGCUUUCCCGGCAAUGCUAUGCCAGAUGGUAUGCAAUAGGUUGUUAGGAAAAAAUUGCUGCUUGAAUUAUUUCUCUCAUUUUUGCUUAAGGUUAUCUGCCUGGAAGGCUCUAUGAUCUCAAUGCAUCACAGUAUGGAAACCAAGAUGCAUUUAAAACUUUAAUGAGGGCCUUCCAUGAGAAUGGGAUCCAAACGCAUAGCAGAUAUAGUUAUAAACCAUAGGUGUGCAGAGAAGCAAGACAAUAGAGGAAUAUGGUCAAUCUUUGAAGGGGGAACUCCUGGUGAUCGACUUGACUGGGGACCAUCGUUCAUUUGCAGUGAUGACACUCUUUACUCUGAUGGAAAAGGAAACCCUGACACUGGAGCAGACUUUAAUCCUGCUCCAGACAUUGAUCAUGUAAACCCACGUGUGCAAAGAGUGUUAUCAGAUUGGAUGAUUUGGUUAAAGGAUGAAAUUGGUUUUGAUGGGUGGCGAUUUGAUUUUGCCCGGAGGAUAUUCACCUGCUUUUACAAAGAUAUAAAUGACAAACAAAAAGCCAAGUUUUGCAGUGGGGGAAAUAUGGAAGGAUCUUGCUUAUGGAAAUGAUGGAAAGCCAUAAUACGACCAGGAUGCUC